UACGUAGGGGCCAAGCGUUUGUCCGGAUUUAUUGGGCGUAAAGAGCUCGUAGGCGGUUGGGUAAGUCGGGUGUGAAAACUCCAGGCUCAACUUGGAGAUGCCACCCGAUACUGCUCUGACUUGAGUUCGGUAGGGGAGUGGGGAAUUCCUGGUGUAGCGGUGAAAUGCGCAGAUAUCAGGAGGAACACCGGUGGCGAAGGCGCCACUCUGGGCCGAAACUGACGCUGAGGAGCGAAAGCGUGGGUAGCAAACAGG
rnacentral:rRNA from 1 species